GUGUUCACUUUGGCCGCAUAUAUACUAAUAUUGUAAUGAUAUAGAGAAGAUUAGCAUGAGAAUGACACCCAAAUUCAUGAAGCAUUCCAUAGAAAG
rnacentral:snRNA from 1 species